UUUCCAGGGCAAGGCGAUGGAGUCCUGGUAAAUGUAGCCGUCGGCGCUGCAGUUGUGGGAGAGGUGAAAUCAUCAGUGAAGACUCCAGCACUGAACAACCCUUUCCUGUAUAGCGAUAGCCCAUAGCCAGGCUCCUCUCAAACAGCCUCACUAUCUCUGAAAGUUGGGCCAAGUAACUCACUAAAGCAAAAUUUCAAAGCAAAACUCCUGCAAGUAUCAUUUACAAGAAGGAUCUAUGCAAGGUACAAAGCAAAUCUCAAGCAAACUGAAACUGACAGUUAAUCAAAAAAGAUGAUUAAGAAAAUAACUGUAAUCAAAGGAAAUAACUUCUCCAUCAACAAUCAGUGGCUUUCAUCAGAGUAUUAUGUCACAGCAACAGAAGAGAAACGAGGACAACAUCAAUAAAGUUGCAUUGCAUAAAUUUGCCAGCACCCAAAUCUAACUUGACCCUCCCAAGUAUACAGAGCCAUGUUCUAUCUUGUCCUUGUCAAAUACCCACAUCUUUCUCUCAGGUACUUCCAAAGGCUGAUGGCUGACACCUUGG
rnacentral:lncRNA from 1 species